ensembl:misc_RNA Metazoa_SRP Metazoan signal recognition particle RNA
GCUGGGCAUGGUGGUGUGUGCCUUUAGUCCCAGCUACUCAGGAGGCUGAGACAGGAGAAUCACUUGAACCCGGGAGGCAGAGGUUGCAGUGAGCCAAGACUGAGCCACUGCAACCCAGCCUGGGUGACAGAGUGAGACUCCGUCUCAA